rnacentral:lncRNA from 1 species
AACAACCCUUACUUUUAUGUAUUUAACCUUCUUGUGAUUUAAUUACAUGUGUUUUAUUUUAAUUAAGUAUUUUAUGUAUUUUAGGGGCAUUAUAGUCAUUUCACAAUAAAGGAGAGAUCAGACGGCAAAACGGACAUCACUUUUGAACUCAGGACAGUCGAAAACCUUAGGAGGAGCAUAAAAGGAAAAAUGGCACUAUUCACAUGUACGGUACUAUUCACGUAUACGGUACUGUCUACGUUACUGUUCACGACACUGUUCACAUAGACGGAUCGAUGACGUGGCAUUGACCGAUGAUGUGGCAUUGACUGAUGAGGUGUCACGAUCCUGUUGGACUAAAAUUCUUAUGUACUGUUGACGGUGACGUGGCAGCAUAUCAGUGGACGAAAAAUCUCGCGUACG